rnacentral:rRNA from 1 species
AUUGAACGCUGGCGGCAGGCUUUACACAUGCAAGUCGAACGAGUGGCGGACGGGUGAGUAAUGUCUGGGAAACUGCCCGUUGGCGGGGGAUAACUACUGGAAACGGUAGCUAAUACCGCAUACUAUCAGAUGUGCCCAUAUGGGAUUAGCUUGUUGGUGGGGUAACGGCUCACCAAGGCGACGAUCCGUAGCUGGUCUGAGAGGAUGACCAGCCACACUGGGACUGAGACACGGUCCAGACUCCUACGGGAGGCAGCAGUGGGGAAUAUUGGACAAUGGGCGAAAGCCUGAUGCAGCCAUCCCGCGUGUAUGAUGAAGGCCUUCGGGUUGUAAAGUACUUUUGGCAGGGAAGCGUUACCCGCAGAAUAAGCACCGGCUAACUACGUGCCAGCCGCCGCGGUAAUAC